rnacentral:misc_RNA from 1 species
AAGUCGUAACAAGGUCUCCGUAGGUGAACCUGCGGAGGGAUCAUUACCGAGUUGUGGAAACACAAUCUCCCUUUCUUGUUGUUUGACCGGUUGCCUUGCCUUCGGGCAGGAUUAUUCUGAAUCAGUGUCGUCUGAGUACUUUUAUAAUACUAUAAAA